AGUGAACGCUGGCGGCGUGCUUAACACAUGCAAGUCGAACGAGAACGGAAUAUAGCUUGCUAUAUUUGUCAGCUAAGUGGCGCACGGGUGAGUAAUGUAUAGAUAACCUGCCCUUAAGAAAGGAAUAACAGUUGGAAACGACUGCUAAUGCCCUAUAUGCCUUUAAUACAUAAGUAUGCAAGGGAAACGCUUUAGUGCUUAAGGAUGGGUCUGUAUGGUAUCAGCUUGUUGGUGAGGUAAUGGCUCACCAAGGCUAUGACGCCUAACUGGUUUGAGAGGAUGAUCAGUCACACUGGAACUGAGACACGGUCCAGACUCCUACGGGAGGCAGCAGUGGGGAAUAUUGCACAAUGGACGAAAGUCUGAUGCAGCAACGCCGCGUGGAGGAUGACACAUUUCGGUGCGUAAACUCCUUUUAUAUAGGAAGAUAAUGACGGUACUAUAUGAAUAAGCACCGGCUAACUCCGUGCCAGCAGCCGCCGCAG
rnacentral:rRNA from 1 species